CCCUAAAUGGAUUCCAGAUGUCACCCAAUAAUGAAACUGGAAAUGAGGGGUAUCUGGAGGAUGGUUUUCUGAGAUGGGCAAGGAUGACAUGAGGAUCAGAGCUGUGGGAAAGAGGAGGAGGCUUAUCCUCGCGACAUCCUGCAAGCAAGGGCAUUACCGGAGUUCUACCCAGGCAAAAUAUUUG